CUCUGGUAUGACAACCACUAAGGGCUGCAGAAGUCACUGAGCUCGGGCAGGAGCAAGCUUUGGUGCUUGUCUGCAUUAUUGAAUUGGAGGGAGAUGCCCAUGGGCUCCAGGAUGGACUCAAUAACUUGGCUAACUCGGUGGAGGCAUCUCUUUGGACUACUCGUCCUAUAUCAGUGGACUAUUGUCUGCGGCUCUGAUUCCCAAGUGACCCAGAGUCCCUUCUCACAGAACAUCCAGGAAGGGGGACUGUUUGCCAUCACCUGCAGCAACCCCAAUGAAUAUAGCACCCAUUUUUGGUACCGUCAGCAGCCUGGAAGAGCACCGACCCUCCUCUUGUAUAUAGCAUCCCAAGAAAAGAACGAAACCAAAGGACGCUUCACAGCAGAGUACUUGGAGAAGGGAAAGAAAAGUCGCCUGCAUCUCUCUGGUGCUCAGAUUCAAGACUCAGGCAUAUACUUUUGUGGCGUAGAGCACAGUGGCGCUGGAAGGGAGAGACUCAUGACUAUAACUUCAGGUCUUCUUCAGCUCUGAUGUUCACCUUUACUCUGUGAUACUUUGCUGCUGAAAACGUUCCCCUACAAAUGUUCA